UUUUGUUCAUCUUUUGUUAUGUUUUGGUGAGGCCGAUUGUGGUGUCGUGGAUUUGGGAUAUGAGUUUGAGCUUUGAGUUUUUGCGAGUUGAUCGCAGGCAAAAAGAGGGAAGGUGUAUUUCGUGUAUCAAGUGGGCGGUGAAGUGGUUCUUUGGUCUGCUCAUUGGACUUGUUGAGAAGAUUUGAUCAAUGGAAAUCGACCAGAACCUCAUCCCCAUUCUGAGCAUCGAUGCAGGACGAAUUAGAGGAAUAAUGCCGGCAGUUAUUCUCAGUUUUUUAGAGUCCGAACUUCAGAAACUCGACGGCCCAAAUGCAAGAAUUGCUGAUUACUUCUACAUGAUCUGCGGAACAAACACCGGCGGACUGUCGACGGCGAUGCUCACUUGCCCGAACGAGAGAAGCCGCCCUUUAUUUGCCGCGAAAGAUAUCAAGGAGUUUUAUGUGAAAGAAAGCCCAAGGAUUUUCCCUCAACCCAGGUAAUUAAUGAAGUUCAUCAAGUCUUUUUUUUCCAUGACUAUUCCAUGUGAAAUGUAAAGUUGAGAUAUUAUGUUGAUUUAAAGUAUACAUUUACUGAUUGCCCAGUUGAUCUAAUUCAUCAAUUAAAUUAGGGUAACUAUGUCGAUUUUAGGUAUCUUAUUCUAAUUAAAUUAGAGUAUUUUUUUUUAUAAACGCAAAAUACACACUCGGAUGCUGCGGUAUGUAGAGGAGGUGAUUAACUCUUCUCGAGGUCCAAAAUAUGAUGGAAAGUACCUUCACAAUGUUGUUAAGGAAUUACUAGGGAAAAAGAGGUUGCACGACACAUUGACCAACGUAGUGAUUGUGGAUUACGAUAUUAUGUUGAAUGACUUAGCCAUAUUCUAGAGCCAUGAGUUAAAAAAAUCACCGAGUUGAGAUGCCCUCCUUUCCGGAU